AGGGACCCUGCAGCUGGGGCGGCCGAGGUGCUCCUGGGAGUGCCAGCAGCACCACGGUGGGGACAGCACCUGCUGCCCCGAACCCUCCUGAGCCCGGGGGACCGGGGCACAGGGAGGUGGCUGGAGCCAGAGACGAUCCCCCAUAACAGUGGCAAACACCACUCUGUACCGCUCGGGCUGGGUACUUACCCGCAGCCAACAGCAGGCUCCACUGCAGGCUGUACGGCAGCUUCUGCCGCGCCAUCUUCUGCACCGCGAAGGCGGCCACGCUGCCUGCCAAGACCGAGGCCGGGGUUACUGGACACGGCCGGGACGUCCUCGCUGCCCCCGCGGAGCGGCCAAGGACAGCCCGGGGGAUGCCGGGGUGGCUGGACCGGCCCGUACCUGCCAAGAAGGUGCCGAUGCCCUUCAAGAAGGCGUGAGACUGGCAAGCCGCGUACUGCUGCAGCGCCUGCGGGGAGGCAUCAGCGCGAGGGCCGGAGGCCCACCCGGCCCUCUCAGUCCCGGCCCCCCCCGCACCCCCAGGCCCCCCAGCCCGUCCCCCGCGGGGCGCACCGGGUACUUGGCAGCCACAUCGUCCUCCACCCGCCGCACGCCCAGGUUCACCAUGGCGAGGCUGCCGGGCCCGGCCCGGGCCAGGAUCCGCCCUUGCCACCCGCCCCUUCCGCCGCGGCCAUGGAGGAACCGGCGGGGCCUUUUCAUGUGCUCCGAACCGGGUCAGGCCGGUUCCUCUGCUACUGCGGACCCGACGGCGCCGUCUAUGUGACCGACGCGAUGGAGGUCUGGGCCGGGGAGCUCGGUGGCUGCCCGGCACUCGGCUUUCGGUGCCCGCCGGAGGAGCACGGCGCGAUGCUCAGGGCCGCCCUGGAUCACGGAGCCGCCGCGCUGAGCCUGGGCCCGGGUUCGGCCACGCUGCGGCUGCCGGAGGAGCCGCAGUGCCCGGCCCUAGCCCUCGCCCAGCUGCCCGCCGCCGAGGCGCGCAGCCAGCUGCAGGCGCUGGUCUUCGGCAUGGCCGGCUGCAUCGAGAACCUGGAGAGGCGCCUGGAAGUGGAGACGUUAGCAUCUUCCUGCAGCCCUGAGAAGAACGCUGCCCGGAGCCAGCAGCUCUUCUUGCCAGGUAGGCACUGCCAGGGGCACCUGCCCUGCUCCUGCAAUCUUCUGUCUUCUCCCUCCUGGAGGCUGCUGGUCCUGUAUCCAUGUGCUCUCCAGGACACUCUGAGUGCCCUCAGCUCUGGCUGCUGGCAGCCACCUCUUGUCCUGGUGCUCUUCCAGGCAGAGCAGGGGGAGGGCUUAGUGUGGUGGCUCUCAGGGUGUCUGGGAUGCUCAGGUCAAAGGCUGGGCAUUGCCAGCCUCGGAAGGAGGGUAGGCUUUCCUGUGCUUCCAGACUGGAGGCUGUGUGGAUCCAUGGCUCCUUUUGGGAGAGGAGGCCAAGUCUUCCCCUUUCUUGCCCUCUGUGGCUGCUGGUCCUGCCAGGCUGGGCUCCCGGAGGCUCCCCCUAGCCGUGGAGGGACUGGCAGGGCAGCCAGAGCUUCUGGGUAGCCUGUAGUCUGUGUCCUGCCUGUUCCUGACCGAGGCAGACCCCAGCCCCAGGAAGAGUAAGGCUUCUGGCUCAGCUUUGCCAGGCAAAAGGAAGGUACCAGGGGAGUCUCUCAUUAACCCUGGUUUCAAAAGCAAGAAGGCGCCAUCUGGAGU